UGUCAUGUACCCACAUGGAUAUUAUGUGAUGAGAAGGGCACUUCACCUCUGUGGUUUUCUCACUCGAAUUUAUAACGCAAAUUAAGAACAAAUGGGUGUCCUUAAUAUACCUUUCCUUAAAUGCUUUUUCAAAUUGGUCCUGUUUUGAUAUGCAAACCCCAGUGUUACUUACUGAAUGCCGUUCAUAACAUUUGAGGAAGGAAGAAGGAAGAGGAAAACCUUAAAGUGUGAGAGGGAUUCAACCUGCCUGGCUUUGAAGAUGGAGGAAUGGGGCCAGUGCCGAUGAAGGGUCUCUUGGAGUAAUUCGCCCUAACACUGAGGCUUUGGAGCCCCGGAAGGUUGAUGGACGGUAGCUGCUGCCCCCUAGUGUAAGAUGCCUUGUUACUGCAGACAUAGGGUUGAAACAACCGGCCCUCCUCCCCUUGCACUGCUGAAGGAAUGGGAAACAAAUUAAAGUGCUUUGUUUAAAUGAUGCAGAUAAUUGAGAAAGUUAUAGUAUAUUAUUAUUUCAGAAUGAAUAGCUAGAACACUUCUUUUGUAAUUUCCUUCAGAAAUAGUCAUUUAUUGUUUUUCUGUCAUUACUUGAAGUUUAACUUUCUCAUUAUCAUUUUCUACUUUUCCCACUUGAGGGGCUGGCUACAUAAUUUGCAGGACCCAGCCGUAAAUGAAAAUGUGAUACCCUUUGUUCAACAAACGGGGAAAAUGCCAUUAAAGGAUCUCACUUUUCUUGCCUGGGCAUGAGGACAGUGGCAUCUCACUUCUUGAUUUGUGUGCAUUCGAUCAACACUCCCAACCCUCGGCUUGCUGAUGAGUAAGGCAGCACUGUAAGGAAAAGGGACCAUGGGGUGCCCUAUCUUUCCCUUUCUUUCUAUGUCAAAAUGUUCAGCACAAGUGGUUGCCUGAGUAAGAAAGGAGGUAAUAGAUUUCUUAGAACAGCAUUGUCUUCUGUGUUAGAAGCAAGUUUUGGUUCAAAAGGAAAGAGUGGCCUCUUGGGUUCUCGAUGCUCCCUCUUGCUCAGUUGUAGAUGUAACUUGCUCGCUUCAUGUGUGCUUUGAGUCUCACUGGACUCCAUUGCACUAUGGGCUCCUGGAAUUCUGUGCUCGUGACAUGCCAUGAAUGCUGUAAUAUAUGCAGAUGGGAGGUAAGGCAUGCAGACAUGCAUGUCACAUAUAUGCAUCUCUUCUACUCACACAGGCGAUCCAUUGUCCUAGCAGACUUCACUUAUAAAACACAAAUUCAAAAAUGAAAUUAUUAAGGAUUUCAUGAUGCUGACAGCAGAGUAUUCAAUCAAGCACCACGGCCCUUCUGAGUUCAGGGCCCUGUAUAACUGCACAGGGUACAUGUAAUUCCACAAAAAUACAACUAAAAUCUGGUUUUGCUUGUUUAGGCUUCCAUCAAUUCCAAAUAGAAAUUUAAUUCAGGCUCUUUGGAAAAAUAUGCAGCACUUUUCUUAGUGUACAGCCACUGGUCAGCAGUUACUCAGAGGCAGGGACGGCUCAGGUGGGAUUCUGUUGGGAGAGCCCUGUGCUCGUGUCUUGGCCUCCAAGAGCACCCUGACUCGCACUCUGGUUUGAGAGCAGAGCCAUCGUUUCGAGGUGGGGAUAGAGGUUGUUAAUGUAGAAAUCAUGUGAAAGUGUUUAUUACAUCAAAUGGGGUGUGUACGUUUUAAAGGACUGGAAAACUGAAGGAUGUUUGCUGAGAAGAAACCAGAAAGGUUUUCCGUCUCCUUAGCAGAAACAUAUGGCAAGAGGCAAAAUUAAGUUCACUUCUAAAACUUGGUACUUAAGAGUAGACAAGUACUAGGGGUCCUUCAGCUUAACUUUCUGAAAAAGGUGUCUAUGGCUGCUAGGAGGACUGAUUUCUUGUUGAAAAUUAAUUUACCAAAGAUUCAGUCAAGAUGCAUUUGCUCUGUGAGCGCUCAGUGAACAGGGGAGGAGGGAGUCUAAAGGUAGAAGGCGAAGUUCCUGCCUCCGGGACCCACCUGGUUUGGAUGAUCAGGACAAUAUCCAUGAAAUAAUAAGAAAACAGUAGAAGAUCCAAUUUCAUUUUCUUUUACUGGUUUAAUAAUAAAUUUCUGUUUUAUUCAAUGUAGACAAAAAGAAUUGGGAGGGAGUUAAACCACUUUAUUGAGAGGAAUUGGGGACAGGAACAAAGAAGGGUGUAGGAUGAUGAGAUCCAAUGUCUUCGGCCAGGCCAGGACCUCCCAGGCUUUGCAGAGGCUGAAAAGCUAGACAAAAAUGUUUAAAGCCACAUCUCAGUUUCCCGUGUCUUCUCAAAGGGAAUCCUUAACCUUGUUUGAGCUUUUCUUGGUGACCAACACUAAUUGGCGUUAGCCUGUUAGAAUUUUAAAAUUACUUCUUUUCUCCUCCCCUUUGUCCUCCUCCCGUGUGGGGGUUCGUUUUAUGUGCCAGCUUGACUUUCUGGGUGUGUCUGUCAAGGAGUUUCUGGAUGAGAUUAGCAUCCGAAGACUCAUUAGCGUUUGGUAGGCUGAGCAAAGCAGAACAUGCCCCCCAGUGUGGGUGGUGGACAUCAGCCACGCUGUCAACAGCCUGGAUGGAACAAAAAGGCGAAGAAGAGAGGAUUUGUGAUCUCUGCCUGACUGCUUGAGCUGAGACAUUGAGCCUCUCCUGUGCUCAGCCUGGGACUUAACGCCAUCAGUGCUCCUGGUUGUCACACCUUUGGACUCAGAUCGGAAUAUGCACCCAGCUUUCCAGGGGCUCCAGCUUGCAGACGGCAGAUUGUGAGACUUCUCAGUAUUCAUAGUCAUGUGAGCCAAUUCAUUGUGAUAGAUCUCUCUCUGGAGAUACAGGUAUAGAUACAUAUAUUUAUCUAUGUCUGUCUUUCCAUCCAUCCAUCCAUCCAUCCAUCCAUCCA